rnacentral:rRNA from 1 species
UGGGAAUUUUGGACAAUGGGCGCAAGCCUGAUCCAGCCAUGCCGCGUGCGGGAAGAAGGCCUUCGGGUUGUAAACCGCUUUUGUCAGGGAAGAAAUCUUCUGAGUUAAUACCUCGGGAGGAUGACGGUACCUGAAGAAUAAGCACCGGCUAACUACGUGCCAGCAGCCGCGGUAAUACGUAGGGUGCAAGCGUUAAUCGGAAUUACUGGGCGUAAAGCGUGCGCAAGGCGGUUUUUGUAAGACAGAGGUGAAAUCCCCGGGCUUCAACCUGGGAACUGCCUUUGUGACUGCAAGGCGUUGAGUGCGGCAGAGGGGGGAUGGAAUUCCGCGUGUAGCAGUGAAAUGCGUAGAUAUGCGGAGG